AACCUCAGAAUGUGACUUUAUUUGGAAAUAGAGUCUUCGCAGAUGUAAUCAAGUUAAGAUAAGGCCAUACUGAAUUAGGAUGGUCCCUAAUCCAAUAACUUGUGCCUUAUAGGAAGAUGAAAACUUGGACACAGAGACACAAACAUACACAGGGAAGAAGCCAUGUGAAGACAGAGGCAGAGAUUGAAGUGAUGGAUCCAUAAGCCCAAGAUCAGCAAGGAUUACCUGCAGCCACUACAAGCUUGGAGAGGGACCUGGGAUAGUUUCUCCUUCAGAGCUUCUAGACAGAACUUUUCGUUUAUCUCUCCUACUUCAUUACCUGCUUCCUGAGAUCAUUUCCCAAAGAAACUACCUGCACUUUCACUCGAGUCUGUGUCCAAGACAUCUCAGGGCCUGUCUGCAUGUUUUCUUGAGCAAUGUGUUUGGUCUUCUGGAAUUAUGAUUCAUGGAUUCAAGAGACCAUGGUGGAAGCUUCUAAUCCUCUUAAAAAGCAAGACUGAUCAUGGGGAACUGUCCUGUCCACUGGUACGUUAUUGCAAUCAGAGGAAGCUACUCCCUGAUUUGUAACCUACCUCUGUCUCCAGGAUAACUCUAAGACCAAAGGACUCCUUGGACACCUAGUCAGGAGGGUGGUGAGUUGAACUGAGCAAGCUUGAGCAUUUCAAACUGAGACAUUAGAAGUGGACACUUGCACUUUAUACAGAGUAAGGCCCAAAUUGAAUUAACCUGGAGUGAGUCUGCAACAAGCCUAGCGUCGGCAUUUCUAUGACUGACCUCGGCUAACACUGGAGCUACUUAAAUUUCCAAUGAUUUUGGAAAACUAUUUUUUUUUAAAGUGUGUGAUUUGAAGGUAAAUGAACCUAUUCCAAUUUAACUGCUUUAUUUUUGUGGUUGUAUAUAUAAUCAUAUUUAAGCAAUUUAAAAUCCAAACUUCCUUUUGGAGCUGUUUUAUUUUCUAAAGGGUCUUCCUGCCCAAGAUGGUGUCUGGGUGCAGAAGGGAGCUUAUUUACCUUCUGGCUUUGGGAAAGGGCUCCUUGCCCAAGUGAUGUGGUUCUCUCGUUUCCCUGUUGAUCACCAGUUGAGAUAUGUACUCACCUCACUUGACUUCUUUUUUUUUUUUUUUUUUUUUUUACAUUAAGAAAAAUCUUUUAUUUCUGUAGGUUUUUGGGGAACAGGUGAUAUUUGGUUAUAUGAGUAAGUUCUUUAGUGGUGAUUUUUGAGAUUUUGGUGCACCCAGCACCUGAGCAGUAUGCACUGAAUGCAAUUUGUAGUCUUUUAUCCCCCACUCCACUCCCACU